GUGGGGAUCUUUCCAAUGGACGCAAGUCUGAUGAAGCAACGCCGCGUGAGUGAGGAAGGCCUUUUAGGUUGUAAAGCUCUGUUGCCGGGGAAGAAAGUUAGUGUAAGGAAAUGUGCAUUAAUUGACGGUACCCGGUGAGGAAGCACUGGCUAACUACUGUGCCAGCAGCCGCGGUAACACUGUAGAGUGCAAGCGUUGUCCUGGAAUCAUUGGGCGUAAAGGGUACGCAGGCGGAUAUACAAGUCAAAUGUGAAAGGUGUAGGCCUUUAAACCCUUACCAAGAACUUGGCCGUUUGGAAACCUGGUUAUUNNAUUCUUUUUUNGGGGGG
rnacentral:rRNA from 1 species